rnacentral:misc_RNA from 1 species
GGAAGUAAAAGUCGUAACAAGGUUUCCGUAGGUGAACCUGCGGAAGGAUCAUUACCGAGUGAGGGCCCUCUGGGUCCAACCUCCCACCCGUGUUUAUUUUACCUUGUUGCUUCGGCGGGCCCGCCUUAACUGGCCGCCGGGGGGCUCACGCCCCCGGGCCCGCGCCCGCCGAAGACACCCUCGAACUCUGUCUGAAGAUUGUAGUCUGAGUGAAAAUAUAAAUUAUUUAAAACUUUCAACAACGGAUCUCUUGGUUCCGGCAUCGAUGAAGAACGCAGCGAAAUGCGAUACGUAAUGUGAAUUGCAAAUUCAGUGAAUCAUCGAGUCUUUGAACGCACAUUGCGCCCCCUGGUAUUCCGGGGGGCAUGCCUGUCCGAGCGUCAUUACUGCCCUCAAGCACGGCUUGUGUGUUGGGCCCCGUCCUCCGAUCCCGGGGGACGGGCCCGAAAGGCAGCGGCGGCACCGCGUCCGGUCCUCGAGCGUAUGGGGCUUUGUCACCCGCUCUGUAGGCCCGGCCGGCGCUUGCCGAUCAACCCAAACUUCUAUAGGUUGACCUCGGAUCAGGUAGGGAUACCCGCUGAACUUAAGCAUAUCAAUAAGCGGAGGA